AUGAAUCUUUAGCUGGAUAUAAAAUUCUGGACACUGCUAAAGCACUGUACAGAAAAUGUGGACUCAUCUGCCUAAAAUCUAUCAUCAACUGAUUAACCUUUGCCAGUGACAAUAAUACAGAUGUUAUAGAAAUGGAGAAUGGUGAACAGGCGAAAAUUGACUGCAUAUGAUACUUUUUGCAAGAAGUCCUUCAUGGAAUAAACUACUUGAAACUCCAGGCCCAUGUUCUAAAGGAAUAUUUGAACUGAUAGUUUUAUGGAAGCCAUUCCACAGCCAGUGAUGUAGCAUUUUCAUAUUACCUAUAAGAAAGGUAAACCUUCCAAAUACUGCAUGUUCUCAUUUAGACUGGGAGCUAAGUGAUGAGAAUUCGUGAGCACAAAGAAGGAAACAACAGACACUGCAGUCUACUUGAGGGUGGAGGUUGGGAGGAGGGAGAGGAGCAGGAAAGAUAACUAUUGGGUACUAGGCUUAAUACCUGAGUGAUGAAAUAAUCUGUAAAAAACACUGAUAUAAGGUUACCUACCUGAAGUAAGUUUACCUAUCUAGCAAGCUUUCACAUGUACCCCAAAUCUAAAGUAAAAGUUAAAAAAAGAAUGGAACAUCUUAAAAUUAGGGUUGAAAUUUUUUUAUGGAUAUGGGAGAAGUUGAGUGCCCUAAUGCAAGUCACAACAGUAAUGUUGCUAUUUUCAUUUAUUUUGUUUGCAAAUCUCACACAAUGUAUUUCGAUUUCCCUCUUCCUCUUGCAUUUGUGGUGUCCAAAUAGUCUUCUAAAUUUGUUGUAAAACCCAUUCCAACUAGACUUUAUUGUUCCUUGACUAGGAUGGCAUGCAGUUUUAUGUUUCAGAGCAAGUUGCUUCAAAUUCUGAUUUUGAAAUUUGC
rnacentral:lncRNA from 1 species